rnacentral:rRNA from 1 species
GAUGAACGCUGGCGGCGUGCCUAAUACAUGCAAGUCGAGCGAACAGACGAGGAGCUUGCUCCUCUGACGUUAGCGGCGGACGGGUGAGUAACACGUGGAUAACCUACCUAUAAGACUGGGAUAACUUCGGGAAACCGGAGCUAAUACCGGAUAAUAUAUUGAACCGCAUGGUUCAAUAGUGAAAGACGGUUUUGCUGUCACUUAUAGAUGGAUCCGCGCCGCAUUAGCUAGUUGGUAAGGUAACAGCUUACCAAGGCAACGAUGCGUAGCCGACCUGAGAGGGUGAUCGGCCACACUGGAACUGAGACACGGUCCAGACUCCUACGGGAGGCAGCAGUAGGGAAUCUUCCGCAAUGGGCGAAAGCCUGACGGAGCAACGCCGCGUGAGUGAUGAAGGCCUUCGGAUCGUAAAACUCUGUUAUUAGGGAAGAACAAAUGUGUAAGUAACUAUGCACGUCUUGACGGUACCUAAUCAGAAAGCCACGGCUAACUACGUG